GAGCCGCAUGCUUUAUAACUAGGAUGGGAGCCAGAUAAGCUUUCCCUCUUCACCACCUUGGACUUCCUAAGGAUAACAACUCAGGCCGCCGAGAAGCAGAGCUGGGGAGAGUGCUGAGAUCGGAAAUGCCGAGGCCUGUAUUAUCGUUGGCUCCCCGUUUCCUUGUUUCCUGUGCCAAAGGAGACAUUUGGGACAAUGAAGGAAAAAGGGGGAAAGUUGGAACUGACUUUCAAGUCUGGUCAAUUGCAAAUCUAUUACAAGAUCUGUCAUCAACUGGAGGCUGGAGAAAGAGUUAUAACUGAUACAGUGAAUCAGAUCCCAUGAGCAACGACUUACAUUGCAAGAGCUUCGAUCCCUCCCCACUGCUGACCUUCAGGGCUGCAAUCUCUUUAUCACUGGAUAAGAAAGGAAAGAUAGCACAUGUCAUCAUGGUAGCAAACAUGAGAAUGCUUGUCUUUCCGCUAUGUCAUAUCCACUCUUAUCGCACUCCUCUAUCUCCUGCCUUUCCAUGCCUGUGUCCUCUUGUUGGAGGCUGUUGCAGUUGUUGGAGACGAGAAGCAGGCACAUCCUAGGGGCUCCGCCAAGUGUGCCGU